GGUCCUAUAGCUCAGUUGGUUAGAGCACCUGACUCAUAAUCAGGGGGUCCUUGGAUCAUGCCCAAGUGGGACCAC
rnacentral:tRNA from 1 species